CGGGGUGUAGUUCAUCGGCAGAACGCUUGGUUUGGGACCAUGAUGUAGGAGGUUCAAUUCCUCUCACCCCGA
rnacentral:tRNA from 3 species